GUGCCUAAUACAUGCAAGUCGAGCGAACAGACGAGGAGCUUGCUCCUCUGACGUUAGCGGCGGACGGGUGAGUAACACGUGGGUAACCUACCUAUAAGACUGGGAUAACUCCGGGAAACCGGGGCUAAUACCGGAUAACACAUGAAACCGCAUGGUUUCAUGAUGAAAGACGGUUUUGCUGUCACUUAUAGAUGGACCCGCGGCGUAUUAGCUAGUUGGUAAGGUAACGGCUUACCAAGGCAACGAUACGUAGCCGACCUGAGAGGGUGAUCGGCCACACUGGAACUGAGACACGGUCCAGACUCCUACGGGAGGCAGCAGUAGGGAAUCUUCCGCAAUGGGCGAAAGCCUGACGGAGCAACGCCGCGUGAGUGAUGAAGGUCUUCGGAUCGUAAAACUCUGUUAUUAGGGAAGAACAAGGAUGUAAGUAACUAUGCAUCCCUUGACGGUACCUAAUCAGAAAGCCACGGCUAACUACGUGCCAGCAGCCGCGGUAAUACGUAGGUGGCAAGCGUUAUCCGGAAUUAUUGGGCGUAAAGCGCGCGUAGGCGGUUUUUUAAGUCUGAUGUGAAAGCCCACGGCUCAACCGUGGAGGGUCAUUGGAAACUGGAAAACUUGAGUGCAGAAGAGGAAAGUGGAAUUCCAUGUGUAGCGGUGAAAUGCGCAGAGAUAUGGAGGAACACCAGUGGCGAAGGCGACUUUCUGGUCUGCAACU
rnacentral:rRNA from 1 species